UUCGGCGUCUGUCGAUGCGCCCGAACCGACCAAAUAGGCGGUUGCGGGGUGUGACAGAAAUAGUUGUAUCAGAGCAAGUAAAAGAGAAAAGUCUAAGAUGGACCUAGGAGACCCUAGGAUGGUAACUCUAAGGACAUAGGUGCGUGAGCGACGCGGAUCUUAGAGUUGUGGCGGAGGUUAAGUCGAUUGGGUAUAAUUGUAUAUGUAUCUAAUGCUUGAUAGAGAUGGAUUCAAGUUAUGCUUGUUUUCAAUUCGGGAUGUUGUGUUGGCGGCCGACAACAUAACGCUAAGAAUUGGAAAUGUAUAUGGUUGUACGCUUCCGCCGAAUUUGGUAUUUCGGUCGUUUGGUCUUGUAAUUGUAUAGAGUUCGCAGGUUAAGGUAAUUAACCUAAUGGUUGCGUUUCAGGAGCUAUGGCACCGACGAGAUGCCCCACGACGAGAUCCACUCCGGCACCACCGUCUGAGGUGCCCGAGCAUUCGGGGUCUGACGAGGUGCAGGAGUGGCGGGCGCAAGUGACCUCACUAGUUGGUGUGGUGU
rnacentral:lncRNA from 1 species